rnacentral:rRNA from 1 species
GUGGUAAUUCUAGAGCUAAUACAUGCUAAAAACCUCGACUUCGGAAGGGGUGUAUUUAUUAGAUAAAAAACCAAUGCCCUUCGGGGCUCCUUGGUGAUUCAUAAUAACUUAACGAAUCGCAUGGCCUUGCGCCGGCGAUGGUUCAUUCAAAUUUCUGCCCUAUCAACUUUCGAUGGUAAGAUAGUGGCUUACCAUGGUCUUAACGGGUAACGGGGAAUUAGGGUUCUAUUCCGGAGAGGGAGCCUGAGAAACGGCUACCACAUCCAAGGAAGGCAGCAGGCGCGCAAAUUACCCAAUCCCAAUACGGGGAGGUAGUGACAAUAAAUACUGAUACAGGGCUCUUUUGGGUCUUGUAAUUGGAAUGAGUACAAUUUAAAUCCCUUAACGAGGAACAAUUGGAGGGCAAGUCUGGUGCCAGCAGCCGCGGUAAUUCCAGCUCCAAUAGCGUAUAUUAAAGUUGUUGCAGUUAAAAAGCUCGUAGUUGAACUUUGGGUCUGGCUGAUCUGUCCUCCUAAUCGAGCGCACGGAUUCGGUCGGACCUUUCCUUCUGGGGAACCCUAUGCCCUUCACUGGGCGUAGUGGGGAACCAGGACUUUUACCUUGAAAAAAUUAGAGUGUUCAAAGCAGGCCUUUGCUCGAAUACAUUAGCAUGGAAUAAUAGAAUAGGACAUCGGUUCUAUUUUGUUGGUUUCUAG